AUUGAACGCUGGCGGAAUGCUUUACACAUGCAAGUCGAACGGUAGAGGGGGCAACCCCUCGAGAGUGGCGAACGGGUGAGUAAUAUAUCGGAACGUGCCCAGUCGUGGGGGAUAACGUAGCGAAAGUUACGCUAAUACCGCAUACGAUCUAAGGAUGAAAGCGGGGGAUCGCAAGAACUCGCGCGAUUGGAGGGGCCGAUAUCAGAUGAGGUAGUUGGUGGGGGAAAGGCUCACCAAGCCAACGAUCUGUAGCUGGUCUGAGAGGACGACCAGCCACACUGGAACUGAGACACGGUCCAGACUCCUACGGGAGGCAGCAGUGGGGAAUUUUGGACAAUGGACGCAAGUCUGAUCCAGCCAUUCCGCGUGCAGGAUGAAGGCCCUCGGGUUGUAAACUGCUUUUGUACGGAACGAAAAGGUCUCUCUUAAUACGGGGGGCUCAUGACGGUACCGUAAGAAUAAGCACCGGCUAACUACGUGCCAGCAGCCGCGGUAA
rnacentral:rRNA from 1 species